UCCGGAGGGUGCAAGCGUUAUCCGGAUUCACUGGGUUUACAGGGUUCGUAGGUGGGCAGGUACGUCAGUGGUGAAAUCUCCGAGCUUAACUCGGAAACUGCCAUUGAUACUAUUUGUCUUGAAUAUCCUGGAGGUGAGCGGAAUAUGUCAUGUAGCGGUGAAAUGCUUAGAUAUGACAUAGAACACCAAGUGCGAAGGCAGCUCACUACGGGAUAAUUGACGCUGAGGCACGAAAGCGUGGGGAUCAAACAGG
rnacentral:rRNA from 1 species